rnacentral:lncRNA from 1 species
UUGAUGCCCAAUUGAUUAGAUACACAUAAUAAUAUAACUUACAUUAUAGAAUAUAGAUAUACAAAUAUAUUAAAAUCUAUAAAUAUAAAAUAUUAACGUAUGAAAAUUAAAAUAUUAAAAGAGAAAUUAUAGUAGCAACAUGUAGUACCUUUAUAGGCAAUGAUUAAGGGAGUAAGGUGGUAUGUUGUCCAUGUUUUUGUUGCCACCCAUGUUUCCCACAUCUUUAUCCAGCUGGUAGUUUGAAAUGCUUCAAAUGGUGUUGGACUAUUGUUUAAAAUUUUCAAUGUUGAUGGCCUAAUUUUUUACCAAUCCAGCCAGGACAAGAUUGCUAUGCUCAGCCUAACUGC